GGCAAUAGCCACUUGCAGUCCCUGGGGUUUCCCAGAAAUGCCCAGGACCACUGGCUCCUUCAUGCCCGACACGGUACAAGGGAGGGCCAGAUGGCUCAGCUCGUCCUGUAAGAAAGCCCACCGGGGGGCACAUCACUACAGGGCUCCCCAGUCCCUCCCUCCGGUGAGCCACCGUCACCGGCCUAGCCCGCCAUCCCACGCCCUGGGCCCUUCCUCAGGGCUCCUGGCUCAGUCUGCUCCAAAUAUCUGGCCGUGCCCACGCGGACGGGGACCCCCUCAAAGUGGGCCUCUGGAGAAGCCACACGCUCAUUCCGAUGAAGCUGCUACGACAGAAAUCAAGCCCUGCCCGCGUCGGGUCUGCUCUGUGCCUGAGCCCAUCUGCCCGUCACCCUGGAGCUCAGAUGCAGCUGAGGAAGAAAGUCUACUCUGUCCACAUUUGCCGGGGAGGAAAUGAGACGGAGUCUCUUUUCCCACCAGAACCGCAACAGAUAGCUGGCACCCAGCCCCGAUGGCCUUCCUGUGGGCCGAGCUGGGGAGCAGCUGUGCCCUUCCUGGGACAAGGUGGCCACCAGCGAGCCUCGGGAUCAUCCGGGCAAAUUGGAAAGCUGGGCCCACCCUCGGCUGCAGAGGAGGGGAGGGGUAAGCUGGAGCCAAAGGCCAGACGUGGCCAGUGGGUUUCGGCACAAUCAGGCCUGCUCCGGGCUUCCUGACCUCGUAUCCCUAGACGGCAGGCCUAAUGGGGACGGGGACCCCAGCCUCAUGGGAGGCAGGAGUGGGACUUGAGGCAGACCUCCCCACCAGUACAGAUACGGCUGCGGGGUGCCUUCCCAGUGCCUCGGGCCCCCUCACCACCGUACUCACCUGGGUGUGAGCAGUGAACUCCAGGCUGAGCUGGCGCUCCUCACUGGGACCCAGCGUGCCACGUCUCGGGGAGACCUUGGCCGUGCAGAAGUCUGCUUGGUGCCCCAGCAGCUGGCAGACACGAGGACAGGCCUGUUGUCACCCGCGGGGUUCCCGGCACGGACCCAGGAUCCACGCGGCGCUGGAGGCUGGCAGGCUGGGGGCCCGCAGCGGGACCAGGGGGGCUGCGUGCUCCCUGGUGGGAGUAAUCCGCUGGUCCUUUCCCCUCCCCUUCCCGACCCUGGAUGAACCUCACACCUGUCAGGAGUUGCUGGGCUGAACAAGCUGCCCCGGGAGACCCAGGUUGAUGGUGACCAGAGGGCUGCUGCCUCUGACGGCAGCAACAGACCCUGGGCAACGGACGGGGCCACGGGGGAGAGGAGAGCCUCUCUUCCGGGGAGCACCUGGGGGGCAACGUCCCUCUCCGCACGGGCCUCUGGUGCUGACCGUGCAGGCUCACUCACCUUGCCCCAGUGGAAGCGGGUGGGCAGGAGUGUGCCAUUGAUGAGUCUAAUGGUUGCCUUGGUGGGCACGCCCAGGUAGAGGUUGCUGACUUCCACGUGGCUGUUUUGCAGGUACACGUAGGGCUCCUGUACGUCGGCGUACACAGGAAGGUGGCUGGAACACAAGGAAGAAAGAAGAAACAAAACCAUCUUUAUUUUCAGAUGAUACAAUGGUCUCUGUAGAAAAUCCCAAGGAAUCCAGAUUAAAAAAAAUUUUUUUAA